CAGCAAUGAAUAGGAUCAGAGUUUCAUUCAUUAGAAUGAAAUUCCGAUCCGAAUAAAAUGCCGAAUUGCGUUCUAAAAGAAACGAACAUACUGUUGUCAUUCAGUUAGAACGCAAUUCGGCAGUUUCAUGUAAAAUGACAGGAAGCAUUGUGGGAACACUGAGGAAAGCUAGGGAUCAUGGGAAAAUUGCUCUGACCAGCGGAAAUGAAGCACACUUUGCUCCUCCGCUGGUCAGAGCUGGUCAAGCGGAGGAAUCCUCCAUAAGGCAAAGAGUCUCUACUUUGUCUUAUGAUUUUAAAGAAAACUAAAGAAGACUGGAAGAAAAGAAUAACAGAUCCUGAGAGAGGGGGAGAAGAGGAAGAGAUUGAGGAAAGGUAAGUUCGGCAUGACAGUGCCGCUUUAAGUGCCUUAAUUUUUCACCACAGCUUUCUCAUUUUAUAAUUGUAAAAUAAAAGAAAUUUAAAAAAAUACUGGAAAAAUAAAAAGUGCCAUGCAGAUCUCUACAUGCAGCCACACGUACAAAGUUUUCUGCAUAGGACUAAUUUUCUAUGGGUACACUUGUCUGUCUCUCUUUCCUCUGUCUACUUUUUUCUUUCUAUAUUUAUAUCAAUAGUGAUAAGCCAAAAGAGAAAUCUCGUGAUGAUG